rnacentral:rRNA from 1 species
GACGAACGCUGGCGGCGUGCUUAACACAUGCAAGUCGAACGGAAAGGCCCUGCUUUUGCGGGGUGCUCGAGUGGCGAACGGGUGAGUAACACGUGUGUAACCUGCCCUUGACUUUGGGAUAACUUCAGGAAACUCGGGCUAUUACCGGAUAGGAGCUCCUGCUGCACGGUGGGGGAUGGAAAGUUUCGGCGGUUGGGGAUGGACUCGCGGCUUAUCAGCUUGUUGGUGGGGUAGUGGCUUACCAAGGUUUUGACGGGUAGCCGGCCUGAGAGGUUGACCGGCCACAUUGGGACUGAGAUACGGCCCAGACUCCUACGGGAGGCAGCAGUGGGGAAUAUUGCACAAUGGGCGGAAGCCUGAUGCAGCAACGCCGCGUGCGGGAUGACGGCCUUCGGGUUGUAAACCGCUUUCGCCUGUGACGAAGCGGGAGUGACGGUAAUGGGUAAGGAAGCACCGGCUAACUACGUG